rnacentral:rRNA from 1 species
GGGGAAUAUUGGACAAUGGGGGAAACCCUGAUCCAGCAAUGCCGCGUGAAUGAAGAAGGCCUUAGGGUUGUAAAGUUCUUUCACCUGUGAAGAUAAUGACGGUAGCAGGAGAAGAAGCCCCGGCUAACUCCGUGCCAGCAGCCGCGGUAAGACGGAGGGGGCUAGCGUUGUUCGGAAUGACUGGGCGUAAAGGGCGCGUAGGCGGUUUUUUAAGUGAGGCGUGAAAGCCCUGGGCUUAACCCAGGAGGUGCGUUUCAUACUGGAAAGCUUGAGUGCGAGAGAGGAAAGCGGAAUUCCUAGUGUAGAGGUGAAAUUCGUAGAUAUUAGGAAGAACACCAGUGGCGAAGGCGGCUUUCUGGCUCGUAACUGACGCUGAGGCGCGAAAGCGUGGGGAGCAAAC